rnacentral:rRNA from 1 species
CCCUCUGGGUCCAACCUCCCACCCGUGUUUAUUUACCUUGUUGCUUCGGCGAGCCUGCCUUUUGGCUGCCGGGGGACGUCAGUCCCCGGGUCCGUGCUCGCCGGAGACACCUUAGAACUCUGUCUGAAGAUUGUAGUCUGAGAUUAAAUAUAAAUUAUUUAAAACUUUCAACAACGGAUCUCUUGGUUCCGGCAUCGAUGAAGAACGCAGCGAAAUGCGAUACGUAAUGUGAAUUGCAGAAUUCAGUGAAUCAUCGAGUCUUUGAACGCACAUUGCGCCCUCUGGUAUUCCGGAGGGCAUGCCUGUCCGAGCGUCAUUGCUGCCCUCAAGCACGGCUUGUGUGUUGGGCCCCGUCCUCCUUCCGGGGGACGGGUCCGAAAGGCAGCGGCGGCACCGCGUCCGGUCCUCAAGCGUAUGGGGCUUUGUCACUCGCUUUGUAGGCCUGGCCGGCGCUUGCCGAUCAACCAAACUUUUUAUCAGGUUGACCUCGGAUCAGGUAGGGAUACCCGCUGAACUUAAGCAUAUCAAUAAGCGGAGGAAAAGAAACCAACAGGGAUUACCUCAGUAACGGCGAGUGAAGCGGUAAGAGCUCAAAUUUGAAAGCUGGCUCCUUCGGGGUCCGCAUUGUAAUUUGCAGAGGAUGCUUCGGGAGCGGUCCCCAUCUAAGUGCCCUGGAACGGGACGUCAUAGAGGGUGAGAAUCCCGUAUGGGAUGGGGUGUCCGCGCCCGUGUGAAGCUCCUUCGACGAGUCGAGUUGUUUGGGAAUGCAGCUCUAAAUGGGUGGUAAAUUUCAUCUAAAGCUAAAUAUUGGCCGGAGACCGAUAGCGCACAAGUAGAGUGAUCGAAAGAUGAAAAGCACUUUGAAAAGAGAGUUAAAAAGCACGUGAAAUUGUUGAAAGGGAAGCGCUUGCGACCAGACUCGCUCGCGGGGUUCAGCCGGCAUUCGUGCCGGUGUACUUCCCCGCGAGCGGGCCAACGUCGGUUUGGGCGGUCAGUCAAAGGCCC